rnacentral:rRNA from 1 species
GACGAACGCUGGCGGCGUGCCUAAUACAUGCAAGUCGAGCGAAUGGAUUAAGAGCUUGCUCUUAUGAAGUUAGCGGCGGACGGGUGAGUAACACGCGGGUAACCUGCCCAUAAGACUGGGAUAACUCCGGGAAACCGGGGCUAAUACCGGAUAAUAUUUUGAACUGCAUGGUUCAAAAUCGAAAGGCGGCUUCGGCUGUCACUUAUGGAUGGACCCGCGUCGCAUUAGCUAGGUGGUGAGGUAACGGCUCACCAAGGCAACGAUGCGUAGCCGACCUGAGAGGGUGAUCGGCCACACUGGGACUGAGACACGGCCCAGACUCCUACGGGAGGCAGCAGUAGGGAAUCUUCCGCAAUGGACGAAAGUCUGACGGAGCAACGCCGCGUGAGUGAUGAAGGCUUUCGGGUCGUAAAACUCUGUUGUUAGGGAAGAACAAGUGCUAGUUGAAUAAGCUGGCACCUUGACGGUACCUAACCAGAAAGCCACGGCUAACUACGUGCCAGCAGCCGCGGUAA